CAAGGAUUUUCUAAACAGAUUUCCAAUUACUUUCGUGAGGUACAAAGUUUCUUUAUUUUCUAGUGAAUAUAGAAACUUUCUUGGUCUUUUCACUCUAUUUCUGUCCUUUUUUUAGUAGGGGGUCCGAGCAUGAAUGGUGGAAAAGGACUAUGCAGCUAAAGUGGUUCCCCCUAGCUUGGAACAAGUAUCCAAUGACAUGGUGGAAGCUAGAGCCAGAACUAGAGAUGCCAACAAGAAAGGAAGAAGCAUUUACCCAGAUGGCCAAAAAGAAAAAUUUUGUUAUCUGAUUUGAGUGACUUGAGAAGCAGGGAAAUGUGGAUGCAAUAUGACAUGAUAGCCCUCUCUUUGGGAAAAUUGGUUAUGGUUGCAUUACACAGGUUUACUUUGUUUAUGCAAUGGCAAGCUAGACAUUCCUAAAACCAAUGUUUUUUGUCUCCUGGAAACUCUUCCUAUGAGAAACAACAGAAAUUGUCUCUGGAGAAAAACCAAGCAAACUCAAGCAUCAAUAAGCUUCUAUGAAGUGCAAUCUUUCAAGUUUUGGGUUCUCUGCUUUGGAAUUUUCUGGGUUAAUGUAUUGGAUCCCUUGUAAUAAAACAUCUUAAUAGAACAUGAUUUCAUUUUAAUGGGUCAUUCUAGGGCACAGUUGAAAACAUUAUAUUACCCUUCUCUGCAGUAUAGGCUAUUUGAAA